rnacentral:rRNA from 1 species
UACAGAGGGUGCGAGCGUUGAUCGGAAUUACUGGGCGUAAAGCGUGCGUAGACGGUUACGUAAGUCGGAUGUGAAAUCCCCGGGCUCAACCUGGGAAUUGCAUUCGAGACUGUGUAGCUGGGGUGCGGAAGAGGGAAGCGGAAUUUCCGGUGUAGCGGUGAAAUGCGUAGAUAUCGGAAGGAACAUCAGUGGCGAAAGCGGCUUCCUGGUCCGACACCGACGUUCAGGCACGAAAGCGUGGGGAGCAAACAGG